rnacentral:rRNA from 1 species
UGCCUACGGGUGGCUGCAGUAGGGAAUAUUGGUCAAUGGGCGCAAGCCUGAACCAGCCAUGCCGCGUGCAGGAAGAAGGCCCUCUGGGUUGUAAACUGCUUUUGAUAGGGAACAAAUGCCACUUGCGAGUGGAGCUGAGUGUACCUAUAGAAUAAGCACCGGCUAACUCCGUGCCAGCAGCCGCGGUAAUACGGAGGGUGCAAGCGUUGUCCGGAUUUAUUGGGUUUAAAGGGUGCGUAGGCGGCUAUUUAAUUCAGUGGUGAAAUCCUUCAGCUUAACUGGAGAACGUCCAUUGAUACUGAAUAGCUUGAGUAUAGUGGAGGUAGGCGGAAUUGACAGUGUAGCGGUGAAAUGCUUAGAUAUUGUCAAGAACACCGAUUGCGAAGGCAGCUUACUAAACUAUAACUGACGCUGAGGCACGAAAGCGUGGGGAUCAAACAGGAUUAGAUACCCGAGUAGUC